rnacentral:rRNA from 1 species
AACGAACGCUGGCGGCAUGUCUAACACAUGCAAGUCGAACGAGAUCUUCGGAUCUAGUGGCGCACGGGUGCGUAACGCGUGGGAAUCUGCCCUUUGCUUCGGAAUAACAGUGAGAAAUUACUGCUAAUACCGGAUGAUGUCUUCGGACCAAAGAUUUAUCGGCAAGGGAUGAGCCCGCGUAGGAUUAGGUAGUUGGUGGGGUAAUGGCCUACCAAGCCGACGAUCCUUAGCUGGUCUGAGAGGAUGAUCAGCCACACUGGGACUGAGACACGGCCCAGACUCCUACGGGAGGCAGCAGUGGGGAAUAUUGGACAAUGGGGGAAACCCUGAUCCAGCAAUGCCGCGUGAGUGAUGAAGGCCUUAGGGUUGUAAAGCUCUUUUACCAGGGAUGAUAAUGACAGUACCUGGAGAAUAAGCUCCGGCUAACUCCGUGCCAGCAGCCGCAGUAA